rnacentral:rRNA from 1 species
AUCCUGAGUAGGGCGGGGCACGUGAAACCCUGUCUGAAUUCGGCGGGACCAUCCGCUAAGGCUAAAUACUCCUGAGAGACCGAUAGUGAACCAGUACCGUGAGGGAAAGGUGAAAAGAACCGUGAAUAACGGAGUGAAAUAGAUCCUGAAACCAUGCGCCUACAAGCGGUCGGAGCCCUUUCGUGGGGUGACGGCGUGCCUUUUGCAUAAUGAGCCUACGAGUUAACGCUGCUGGCAAGGAUAAGUGGUUAAGCCAUGGAUCCGCAGCGAAAGCGAGUCUGAAUAGGGCGCUUUAGUCAGUAGUGUUAGACGCGAAACCGUGUGAUCUACCCAUGGGCAGGUUGAAGCUGUGGUAACACACAGUGGAGGACCGAACCGGUUGACGUUGAAAAGUCUUCGGAUGACCUGUGGGUAGGGGUGAAAGGCCAAUCAAACUCGGAAAUAGCUCGUACUCCCCGAAAUGCAUUUAGGUGCAGCGCUGGAUAUAGUUAUAUAGAGGUAGAGCUACUGAUUGGAUGCGGGGGCUUCACCGCCUACCAAUUCCUGACAAACUCCGAAUGCUAUAUAAUGUUUACCAGCAGUGAGGGCUUGGGUGCUAAGGUCCAAGUCCGAGAGGGAAAGAACCCAGACCAUCAGCUAAGGUCCCCAAAUAUAUGCUAAGUUGAAAGAACGAGGUUUGUCUGCCCAGACAGCUAGGAUGUUGGCUUGGAAGCAGCCAUUCAUUUAAAGAGUGCGUAACAGCUCACUAGUCGAGCGGACGAGCAUGGAUAAUAAUCGGGCAUAAGCAUAUUACCGAAGCUAUGGAUUUGCAUGUAUGUGCAAGUGGUAGGGGAGCAUUCUGACAGGGCUGAAGGUGUAUCGUAAGGUAUGCUGGACCGGUCAGAAAAGAAAAUGUAGGCAUAAGUAACGAUAAUGCGGGCGAGAAACCCGCACACCGAAAAACUAAGGUUUCCACAGCUAUGCUAAUCAGCUGUGGGUUAGUCUGGACCUAAGGCGAACCCGAAAGGGGCAGUCGAUGGCCAACGGGUUAAUAUUCCCGUACUUCUUAUUGCUGUGAUGGGGUGACGGAGUGAUGAAAGCGCCGCGGACUGACGGAAUAGUCCGUUAAAGCACCUAGCUAUAUCUUCUAUAGGCAAAUCCGUAGAAGAUGGCGAAAUGCGAUAGUACUCGGAGUCUUCGGACAAAGAGAUAGCGCGCCUAAGGGCUUCCAAGAAAAACCUCUAAACUUCAGGCAGUAAGAACCAGUACCGUAAACCGACACAGGUAGUUGAGGAGAGAAUCCUAAGGUGCUCGAGAGAUUCAUGGCUAAGGAAUUAGGCAAAAUAGACCUGUAACUUCGGGAGAAAGGUCGCCCACAGCGAUGUGGGCCGCAGUGAAGAGGUCCAGGCGACUGUUUAUCAAAAACACAGGGCUCUGCAAAAUCGCAAGAUGAAGUAUAGGGCCUGACACCUGCCCGGUGCUGGAAGGUUAAGAGGAGAUGUUAUCUUCGGAGAAGCAUUGAAUUGAAGCCCCAGUAAACGGCGGCCGUAACUAUAACGGUCCUAAGGUAGCGAAAUUCCUUGUCGGGUAAGUUCCGACCUGCACGAAUGGUGUAACGAUCUGGACACUGUCUCAGCCAUGAGCUCGGUGAAAUUGUAGUAACGGUGAAGAUGCCGUUUACCCGCAGUGGGACGAAAAGACCCUGUGCACCUUUACUAUAGCUUAGUAUUGACCUUGGAUAAAUGAUGUGUAGGAUAGGUUGGAGACUGUGAAGGGGCGUCGCCAGGCGCUUUGGAGUCAUUGUUGAAAUACAACCCUUUGUUUAUCUGAGGCCUAACCCCGUGCUGCGGGGGACAGUGCUUGGUGGGUAGUUUGACUGGGGUGGUCGCCUCCAAAAGAGUAACGGAGGCUUCUAAAGGUUCCCUCAGCACGCUUGGUAACCGUGCGCAGAGUGCAAUGGCAUAAGGGAGCUUGACUGAGAGACAUACAGGUCGAUCAGGUACGAAAGUAGAGCAUAGUGAUCCGGUGGUUCCGCAUGGAAGGGCCAUCGCUCAAAGGAUAAAAGGUACGCCGGGGAUAACAGGCUGAUCUCCCCCAAGAGCUCAUAUCGACGGGGGGGUUUGGCACCUCGAUGUCGGCUCGUCACAUCCUGGGGCUGGAGAAGGUCCCAAGGG